AAGUCUAGUACCGAAGAUGCGGAUUGUAUGUUUACAUACAGUGGUAGGGGAGCGUUCUUAAUGGAAUGAAGCAUUACCGUAAGGAGAUGUGGACUAUUAAGAAGUGAGAAUCCUGGCAUGAGUAGCGAUAAAAGUGGUGAGAAUCCACUUCACCGUAAGCGUAAGGGUUCCUGGGCAAGGCUCGUCCUCCCAGGGUUAGUCGGGACCUAAGGCGAGGCCGAAAGGCGUAGUCGAUGGAAAACAGGUUAAUAUUCCUGUACCACCUGUUAGGAGUGAUGGGGUGACGGAGAAGGAUAGAUCAUCCGUGUUUUGGAUUACACGGUUCAAGCUCGUAGGAUUAAGAAAUUGGCAAAUCCGUUUCUUUUUAAGUCCGAGAAGUGAGUACGAGAGGCCCUAGGCCUCAUAAAGUGAUUGAUUCCAUGCUUCCUAGAAAAACCUCUAAAUGUUGAAUAAUAGGUGCUCGUACUGUAAACGGACACACGUACGCGGGUAGAGUAUACCAAGGUGUUUGAGAUAAUUAUGGCCAAGGAACUCGGCAAAAUAGCUCCGUAACUUCGGGAUAAGGAGUGCCUAUGUUAGGUGAAGGAUCUUGCAUCUGGAGCUGAGAUAGGUGACACUGAAAUGAUGGAAGCGACUGUUUACCAAAAACACAGGCCUGUGCUAACCCGCAAGGGGAUGUAUACGGGCUGACGCCUGCCCGGUGCUGGACGGUUAAGGGGACGGGUUAUCCUUCGGGAGAAGCUUGGAACCGAAGCCCCAGUAAACGGCGGCCGUAACUAUAACGGUCCUAAGGUAGCGAAAUUCCUUGUCGUCUAAUUAGCGACCCGCAUGAAUGGCGUAACGACUUCUGUACUGUCUCGGCCAUAAUCUCAGCGAAAUUGUAGUGCUGGUGAAGAUGCCAGCUUCCCGUUGUGGGACGGAAAGACCCCGUGCACCUUUACUAUAACCUAGCACUGGAUUUUGAUGUUAAAUGCGUAGGAUAGGUGGGAGACUAUGAAAGUUUGAUUUUGGUCAAGCUGGAGUCGUUGGUGAAAUACCACCCUUUUGAUGUUAGGAUUCUAACUUAAAUCCGUUAUCCGGAUUGAGGACAAUGUUAGGCGGGUAGUUUGACUGGGGCGGUUGACUCCUAAAGAGUAACGGAGUCGCUCAAAGGUUCUCUCAGCCUGAUUGGAAACCAGGCGUCGAGUGUAAUGGCACAAGAGAGCUUGACUGUGAGAUUGACAAAUCGAGCAGGUACGAAAGUAGGACAUAGUGACCCGGUGGCUUCCAUGUGGGAGGGCCAUCGAUCAUCGGAUAAAAGGUACGCCGGGGAUAACAGAUUAAUCGCGCCCAAGAGUUCACAUCGACGGCGCGGAUUGAUACCUCGAUGUCGGCUCAUCGCAUCCCGGGGCUGUAGAAGGUCCCAAGGGUUGAGCUGUUCGCUCAUUAAAGCGGUACGCGAGCUGGGUUCAGAACGUCGUGAGACAGUUCGGUCCCUAUCUACAACGGGCGAAGGAGAAUUGAGAGGGGUUGCUCAUAGUACGAGAGGACCUGAGUGAACAAACCUCUAGUGUACCAGUUGUUGUGCCAACAGCAGUGCUGGGUAGCUACGUUUGGAAAGGAUAACCGCUGAAAGCAUCUUAAGUGGGAAACCUGCCUCGAGAUUAAUUCUCCCGAACCAUUAGGUUCCUUAAGACCACUCGAAGACUACGAGUUUGAUAGGCACAGUGUGUAAGUUCAGUAAUGAAUUCAGCUAAUGUGUACUAAUCGGUCGUGAGCCUUAACUAC
rnacentral:rRNA from 1 species